GAUGAACGCUGGCGGCGUGCUUAAUACAUGCAAGUCGAGCGAACAGACGAGGAGCUUGCUCCUUUGACGUUAGCGGAGGACGGGUGAGUAACACGUGGAUAACCUCCCUAUAAGACUGGGAUAACUUCGGGAAACCGGCGCUAAUACCGGAUAAUAUAUUGAACCGCAUGGUUCAAUAGUGAAAGACGGUUUUGCUGUCACUUCUAGAUGGAUCCGCGCCGCAUUAGCUAGUUGGUAAGGUAACGGCUUACCAAGGCAACGAUGCGUAGCCGACCUGAGAGGGUGAUCGGCCACACUGGAACUUAGACACGGUCCAGACUCCUACGAGAGGCAGCAGUAGGGAAUCUUCCGCAAUGGGCGAGAGCUUGACGGAGCAACGCCGCGUGAGUGAUGAAGGUCUUCGGAUCGUAAAACUCUGUUAUUAGGGAAGAACAAAUGUGUAAGUAACUAUGCACGUCUUGACGGUACCUGAUCAGAAAGCCACGGCUAACUACGUG
rnacentral:rRNA from 1 species